CGGCGACCUGGUCGAGUUCUGCGACUUCGCCUACAUCGCGCGGGUGGCCCGGGUGAACGGUGCGGUGCUGUGGUCGCUGGC
rnacentral:tRNA from 1 species